GCGGGCCCCACAGUGGGUACCCGGGGAGCGCUGCUCCCCGCGGUGUCCGCGGGCUGCAGGGGGAUGACCCGCUCCUCCGUGGGCCUCUCCUGGGUUGCAGGGAGCUGCUGCUACGUGCCUCCUGCCGCUCUGACCUCGGAGCCUGCAGGGCCGUUCCUCGCACAUUUCUCACCCCCGUCUCCCAACUGCGGCUGCACGGCAGUUUCCAUUCAAUAACUGCGCUCUCCCAGCGUUGCUCACGGCUCAGCUCCUGGGCCCUGCUCACACAGGCCUCCCCAGCUAUGAAUACCUUGCCACGUUUUGCUUUCCAUGGAAUCACAGAAUUGCAAAAGUUGAAAGGGACCUCCAGAGAUCAUCAAGUCCAAUCCUGCUGCAAAGCAGGCCCCCUACAGCAGACUAGGUCCCCUAUACAUGUAGGCGUCCAGGCAGGUCUUGAUUAUCUCCAGAGAAGGAGAAUCUACAACCUCCCUGGGCAGCCUGUUCCAGUUCUCCAUCACCCUUAGUGUGAAGAAGUCCUUUGCAUAUUGGUGUAGAACUUCCUAUGCUCCAGUUUAUGGCCAUUUCUCCUCGUCACAGACCGCUGAAAACUGGUUUGUCAUGUUGCUUUGACUCCCACACUUAAGAUAUUU
ensembl:lncRNA